GCAGCCUGAUGCAGCCACGCCGCGUGCAGGGAUGACGGCCUUCGGGAUUGUAAACCUCUUUCAGUAUCAACGAAACGCAUGUGACGGUUGGUACAUAAAAAGGACCGGCCAACUACGUGCCAGCAGCCGCGGUAAUACGUACGGUCCGAGCGUUGUCCGGAAUUACUGGGCGUAAAGAGCUCGUAUGUGGUUUGUCCCGUUGUUCGUGAAAACUCACAGCUCAACUGUGGGCGUGCGGGCGAUACAGGCAGACUGGAGUACUGCAAGGGAGACUGGAAUUCCUGGUGUAGCGGUGGAAUGCGCAGAUGUCAAGAGGAACACCGGUGGCGAAGGCGGGUCUCUGGGCAGUAACUGACGCUGAGGAGCGAAAGCGUGGGGAGCGAACAGGAUUAUAUACCCUGGUAGUCCACGCCCUAGACGGUGGGUACUAAGUGUGGGUUUCCUUCCUUGGGAUCCGUGCCGUAGCGGACGCACUAAGUACCCCGCCAGGGGAGUACGGCCGCAAGGCUAAAACUCAGAGAAAUUGACGGGGGCCCGCACAAGCGGCGGAGCAUGUGAAUUAGUUCGAUGCAACGCGGAUAACCUUACCUGGGUUUGACAUGCACAGGACGUGCCGAGAGAUAGGUAUUCCCAUGUG
rnacentral:rRNA from 1 species